rnacentral:rRNA from 1 species
AUACGUAUGUCGCAAGCGUUAUCCGGAUUUAUUGGGCGUAAAGCGCGUCUAGGCGGUUUAGUAAGUCUGAUGUGAAAAUGCGGGGCUCAACCCCGUAUUGCGUUGGAAACUGCUAAACUAGAGUACUGGAGAGGUAGGCGGGACUACAAGUGUAGAGGUGAAAUUCGUAGAUAUUUGUAGGAAUGCCGAUGGGGAAGCCAGCCUACUGGACAGAUACUGACGCUAAAGCGCGAAAGCGUGGGUAGCAAACAGGAUUAGAUACCCUGGUAGUCCACGCCGUAAACGAUGAUUACUAGGUGUUGGGGGUCGAACCUCAGCGCCCAAGCUAACGCGAUAAGUAAUCCGCCUGGGGAGUACGUACGCAAGUAUGAAACUCAAAGGAAUUGGCGGGG